CCAGCUCUCGCCCGGUGGUGUUAAUAUCUCACUGGGGCCUCCAAAAUGUUGUACCCAGACGAGUUAGAGAAAAUGCCACACUUUGAGAUGAAUUAAGAGUCCUUUAUUAG
rnacentral:pre_miRNA from 8 species